rnacentral:lncRNA from 1 species
UUUUGUUCUAGGUGCUGUCUCUCCUGCUGUUGUUGUCCCUUACAUGAUGGUGCUGCAAGAAAAUGGAUAUGGUGUUGAGGAAGGCAUUCCAACCUUAUUAAUGGCUGCUAGCAGUAUGGAUGACAUUCUGGCUAUCACUGGAUUCAAUACAUGCUUGAGCAUAGUCUUUUCCUCAGGCUGUGUUAGGUCCUCUGGCUCUAGAAACAGCAAGAGUCUCCGCACCCCACUUGGAACCAUAUGCGAAGGAUGUGAUGACAGUAGCAUUUUUAGCCAUCUUGAUCACAGCUCCAAAUGGAGCUCUACUUAUGGGCAUUCUGGGGCCUAAAAUGCUUACACGCCAUUAUGAUCCAAGCAAAAUAAAACUGCAGUUGUCAACAUUAGAACAUCAUUAAAAAGUUUACCUGUC